AUACGGAGGGGACUAGCGUUGUUCGGAAUUACUGGGCGUAAAGAGUUCGUAGGCGGACUGAUAAGUAAGAGGUGAAAUCCCAGGGCUCAACCCUGGAACUGCCUUUUAAACUGUCAGUCUAGAGACCGGAAGAGGUUAGGGGAAUACCUAGUGUAGAGGUGAAAUUCGUAGAUAUUAGGUGGAACACCAGUGGCGAAGGCGCCUAACUGGUCCGGUACUGACGCUGAGGAACGAAAGCGUGCGGAGCAAACAGGAUUAGAUACCCUAGUAGUCC
rnacentral:rRNA from 1 species